rnacentral:tRNA from 1 species
GGAGAGGUGGCCGAGCGGCUGAAGGCGGCGCGGUGCUAACGCGUUAGACCGUUGUGUCUCCCGGGUUCGAACCCCGGUCUCUCCGCCA